rnacentral:snRNA from 1 species
GUGCUCGCUUCGGCAGCACAUAUACUAAAAUUGGAACGAUACAGAAAAGAUUAGCAUGGCCCCUGCGCACGCAAAAAAAAAAGGAUGACACGCAAAUUCGUGAAACGUUCCACAUUUAG